rnacentral:lncRNA from 1 species
ACUCUUUCAUUCAAUCUAGUAUGCAUUUCCUCUAUUCUUUGCUUGUGCCUGUUACCUUUGGGUUAGUGCUUUAUUUUUAAUAUUUUUGUUGAAUUGAUGUUGAAUAGUCUUAGGUCAGAUUGUGAUUUUAGUUUUCCUUUCAUCUAGGUUCUGUUAUGUGAUUGAGUGUUUCUAUUCCUUUAAACUGUGAUUUUUUGAAUUCUUUGUUAGUGUUUGUUAAUUUUCUUCAUUGUUGAUUACUUUCCCGAUUAGAAUAUCCACUUUAUCCUUACAUUUCAUAUAGGUUAGUUGACUGUUAGGAUUUGUUUAGCUUUUAAUUUCCAAUUUGAGUUGCUUGUUUACGGUUCUAGUUUUAGGUAAUUUUAGUUGCAUUUAAAUUUUCAUAUUAGCUUCUGUUAAUGUUUCUGUUUUAGGAAGUUUAGAGUUCUAUUUUCUUUUAUUUCAUUUCAAUUCAAUUUCUUUCUUCUUUUAGACAGUUUAUAGAUUUUAGAUAUUUUUUUCUUUUAUUGUAGUUUCAUUCAUUUUAAAUGUCCCCACCCAGUUUAAUAGUAAAUAAGUAGUAUAUAAGUACAAGACCUAUACCAAACACUUGAAACUUGAUUAGUUGAGUCUGCGGAUUGAUCCCCUGGUUGCCCUAUACUACAUUACUGGGGACUAGGGUUUGUUGACUUUUCUUGCGACCAAAAAGAGAUUUCAACAAGGCCCAGCCUUCACGCAG